rnacentral:rRNA from 1 species
GUCCAGGGCUACACACGUGUUACAAUGGCCGGUACAGAGGGCAGCCACCCCGCGAGGGGGCGCGAAUCCCGAAAGCCGGUCGCAGUUCGGAUCGGAGUCUGGAACCCGACUCCGUGAAGCUGGAUUCGCUAGUAAUCGCGCAUCAGCCAUGGCGCGGUGAAUACGUUCCCGGGUCUU